rnacentral:misc_RNA from 1 species
AAAGUCGUAACAAGGUUUCCGUAGGUGAACCUGCGGAAGGAUCAUUAAUGAAUCUUCAAAGCCGACCCUUCCGGUGCUGGUGGUCACACAUGUGCACGUUGGGGUCGCAAAUCCACACACCUGUGCAUACUUGACUCUAAGCACCUUCACCCUCAUGUUAGGGAGUCUAAUCUUGAUUGGACUGGUGCUUGAGUAUUUUUCACACACUCAGAAUGUAAUGGAAUGUAGAUUUUGCAUAACAUGCAAUUGAAACAACUUUCAACAAUGGAUCUCUUGGCUCUC